rnacentral:rRNA from 1 species
UACGUAGGGUGCAAGCGUUGUCCGGAAUUAUUGGGCGUAAAGAGCGUGUAGGCGGCCCGACCAGUCCGCCGUGAAAGUCCAGGGCUCAACCCUGGAAUGCCGGUGGAUACUGUCGGGCUAGAGUCCGGAAUGGGCGAGUGGAAUUCCUGGUGUAGCGGUGAAAUGCGCAGAUAUCAGGAAGAACACCCGUGGCUAAGGCGGCUCUCUAGUACGGUACUGACGCUGAGACGCGAAAGCGUGGGGAGCGAACAGG